UACGUAGGUGGCAAGCGUUGUCCGGAUUUACUGGGCGUAAAGAGCGCGCAGGCGGCUUCGCAAGUCAGACGUGAAAGCCCCGGGCUCAACCUGUGAAUGCCGCUGGAAACUGUCUGGCUAGAGUCCGGGAGGGGCGAGUGGAAUUCCUGGUGUAGCGGUGAAAUGCGCAGAUAUCAGGAGGAACACCAAUGGCGAAGGCAGCUCGCUGGAACGGUACUGACG
rnacentral:rRNA from 1 species